UUGCCUGUUGGCCUGCUCCUUGCUAUCUGAAGUAUAUAUUUUUUGUCUAUCGCUCAUUCGCUAUCUGAAGAAUUUUAUGAAGGUAAUUUUAGUGUGUGUUUAGCUUUCAGUUUUUGCUUCUACUUCACAGAGUGGAAGAUCGUAAGAAAACAUUGGAUGAUCUUUAACAAUUAUUCUUAGAAGUAAACCUGAGCAGUAUUUGAUGAUAUAUUGUGAGUCACUGAAAAUGUAUACUGUUUUUUCUUCAGGAUAUGGAUGACUAUCUCAAGGGAUGCAGGUUUCUUCCCAAACUUAAGAAUGAGAUACCUGGUGAAACAAAUGCUCCCUAGUCCCUACAGGGAAAGGUUGAGCAGCCUAGAGAAUUUAGUACUGAUCAUGGUAAGGCCGACAAAGCCUGAAAUCUCAUUUUGAUCCACGUUCAAAGAUUACAUGCUAGCAUAUAUACUUGAAGUUGGCAUGGAAUAUCAAAAUUAAAAAUAGACUUCACCUAUUCCCUGUUUUGAAGAGCAGUGGGAAUCAAUUUUCUGAUGUCCUUUGUUGGCGAUUUCCCUAUCCAUGAAAUGAUAAAUUUUGAACAGAUGUUAACUGUCAAAUAUUUCAAGCAUAUAUAGCUCAAAUACACUAGUAUUUCUUGAAUGCACCAAAACAAGAAGAUAGCAUGAACACGUACAGCUAGGGUAUGCAUUUAGUAGGUGUUUUUCCGUUUUGAAGAUUCAUAAUAGACUAAAAGAGACAGAUAAUUGAAGAAAAUACCCUACUGGAUCUGCACGAGCGCGCGAACUAACAAGUUUUCACUUUCUCGACUGGGUGCAGGGUGAUCGACGAGGACUACUGCGGCCCGAUGGG
rnacentral:lncRNA from 1 species